AGUCGAGCGAGUCUGCCUUGAAGAUCGGAGUGCUUGCACUCUGUGAAACAAGAUACAGGCUAGCGGCGGACGGGUGAGUAACACGUGGGUAACCUGCCCAAGAGAUCGGGAUAACACCUGGAAACAGAUGCUAAUACCGGAUAACAACAGAUGAUGCCUAUCAACUGUUUAAAAGAUGGUUCUGCUAUCACUCUUGGAUGGACCUGCGGUGCAUUAGCUAGUUGGUAGGGUAACGGCCUACCAAGGCGAUGAUGCAUAGCCGAGUUGAGAGACUGAUCGGCCACAUUGGGACUGAGACACGGCCCAAACUCCUACGGGAGGCAGCAGUAGGGAAUCUUCCACAAUGGACGCAAGUCUGAUGGAGCAACGCCGCGUGAGUGAAGAAGGGUUUCGGCUCGUAAAGCUCUGUUGUUGGUGAAGAAGGACGGGGGUAGUAACUGACCUUUGUUUGACGGUAAUCAAUUAGAAAGUCACGGCUAACUACGUGCCAGCAGCCGCGGUAAUACGUAGGUGGCAAGCGUUGUCCGGAUUUAUUGGGCGUAAAGCGAGUGCAGGCGGUUCGAUAAGUCUGAUGUGAAAGCCUUCGGCUCAACCGGAGAAUUGCAUCAGAAACUGUCGAGCUUGAGUACAGAAGAGGAGAGUGGAACUCCAUGUGUAGCGGUGAAAUGCGUAGAUAUAUGGAAGAACACCGGUGGCGAAGGCGGCUCUCUGGUCUGUUACUGACGCUGAGGCUCGAAAGCAUGGGUAGCGAACAGGAUUAGAUACCCUGGUAGUCCAUGCCGUAAACGAUGAGUGCUAAGUGUUGGGAGGUUUCCGCCUCUCAGUGCUGCAGCUAACGCAUUAAGCACUCCGCCUGGGGAGUACGACCGCAAGGUUGAAACUCAAAGGAAU
rnacentral:rRNA from 1 species